GAUGAACGCUAGCGGCAGGCCUAAUACAUGCAAGUCAAGGGGUAGCAAUACACCGGCGGACGGGUGCGUAACGCGUACACAACAUUACCUUUAAGCGGGGGAUAGCAUUGGGAAACUGGUGGUAAUACCCCAUAACAUUGCGUUUCGGCAUUGAGAUGCAAUUAAAGUUACGGCGCUUAGAGAUUGAUGUGCGUCUGAUUAGCUAGUUGGCGGGGUAACGGCCCACCAAGGCGACGAUCAGUAGGGGGUGUGAGAGCAUGACCCCCCACAUGGGUACUGAGACACGGACCCAACUCCUACGGGAGGCAGCAGUAAGGAAUAUUGGACAAUGGGCGGAAGCCUGAUCCAGCCAUGCCGCGUGAAGGAUGAAGGCGCUCAGCGUUGUAAACUUCUUUUGGAUGGGGACAAUAACUUUCAUUUAUGGGAGCUUGAGGGUACCAUCAGAAUAAGCACCGGCUAACUCCGUG
rnacentral:rRNA from 1 species